rnacentral:rRNA from 1 species
UACGGAAUCGUCCUAACGUUGUUCGGAUUCACUGGGUUAAAGGGUGCGUAGGCGGUGCGUUAAGUCGGGUGUGAAAGCCCCGGGCUCAACCUGGGAAUUGGCAUUCGAGAACUGAAUAGCUAGGGUACGGUAGAGGGAAGUGGAAUUCCGGUGUAGCGGUGAAAUGCGUAGAUAUCGGGAAGGAACAUCAGUGGCGAAGGCGGCUCACUGGACCGGUACUGACGCUGAGGCGCGAAAGCGGUGGGGAGCAAAACAGGG